GCGCCAGAUCGCCCAGACCCAGCGCGCCCCUUCGCGGCCUGCCCAGCCUCCUCCCCUCAUCGACCGGGCCUUGGCCCAUGGGUGAGCAGCCCCCUCCAGAUCGCCCCCUCCUGUACACUAACAGACCAGCCAGUUUCGGCCCGCCUCUAUUUUUUUCAGAUCUGCGAUUUUAGGAUUAUUCCAGUGAAUUACCUGUUUUGCAGAAACCCCCUUGCACUUCAUGCAUAUAAUAACUCAUGAUCGGUGCAUCAUAUGUAAAAACUUUAUAUAUGUAAAAUGAUUAGAAUUGCAUCUAGUUUCAUAAUCUGCUAUUUUCAUCCAUGUUUAAAAUGUUUAACUUGCUGUUUGCUUUAAAUUUGCUAAUAUGCCAUGUUAAAAUGAUUUAUUUCAUAACUAAAUAACCGUAGCUCGGAAUUAAAUGUUCUUUAUAUGUAAAUGGGGUGAAAAAAUGCAUAGUUUAACAUGAUGCACUUUAUUUUCCUGUUAAACAACCUUAAAAUUGUGUUUAGGGCAGAACAGUACCGAAUCUAAAAUAUGCACAUGGGGAUUUUCCGGAAUUGUUGUUUGUUCUUUCCGGCCUCAUUUAAAAUUGCCUAGAUAGGUAGUUUUGUUAUACUUCACCUCUUGCCAUGUUUAACAACAUUUAAUAUUGUUGUGUACCUAACCGAGAGAGAACUAAAUAAUUGCUUGUGGUGUUUUGUCAAUAUGCAACUCGUUGCAUAUUGAGCUCCAUUUAAUUUGUAGUAUUGUGUGUUGCAGUUUGCCAUGCCAUGCCUCUUUAAACCGGACAUGCAUCAUACUUAAUUGUGCAUCAUGCCAUGAUUAUGCUUGUGUGUUUACCAUGUUGUUUGUUUCUUUCCGGUGUUGCUUCUUAGUUCCGGUAAUGUUGCGAUCGUGAGGUUUCGUUCGUCUACGCUUGGUUCGGUUUCAUCCGUUCGUCUUCUUCAUGGACUCAUUCUUCUUCCUAGCGGGAUUUCAGGCAAGAUGACCACUACCCUGGAUCUCACUACUAUCAUUGCUAUGCUAGUUGCUUCGUUCUAUCACUAUGCUGCGUUACCUAUCUGUUGCUCUUCAAGCCUCCCAAAUUGCCAUGAACCUCUAACCUUUGACACCCUUCCUAGCAAACCAUUGUUUGGCUAUGUUACCGCUUUGCUCAGCCCUCGUAUAGCGUUGCUAGUUGCAGGUGAAGUUGAAGAUUUCCCCAUGGCGGACAGGAUUUUGGUUGGGAUAUCACAAUAUCUCUUAUAUUAUUAAUGCAUCUAUAUAUUUGGUAAAGGGUGGAAGGCUCGGCCUUAUGUCUGGUGUUUUGUUCCACUCUUGCCGCCCUAGUUUCCGUCAUACCGGUGUUAUGUUCCCGAAUUUUGCGUUCCUUACACGGUCGGGUGAUUUAUGGGACCCCCUCGACAGUUCGCUUUGAAUAAAACUCCUCCAGCAAGGCCCAACGUUGGUUUUACCAUUUGCCUCACCACCACCUAUAUUUCCCUUGGGAGUAAUUAACCCAAGGGUCAUCUUUAUUACAGCCCCCCCGGGCCAGUGCUUGUCUAAGUGUUGGUCCAAACUAGAGCACCGUGCGGGGCCAUCCACUAGUGCAGAACCGGGCAAUAGCACUGGUUCGUAAGGCCCUUUAGUGUCGGUUCCAUAACCGGCACUAAAGUGUGGGACUAAAGGCCCCCCCCCUUUAGUACCGGUUCAGCACGAACCCGUGCUAAAGGGAAACCACGUGGGACGAGCCAGAUCCAGGGGCCUGGAGCCCUUUAGUACCGGUUGGUAAGACCAACCGGUACUAUAAGGUUUGGGGGUUUUAGUUUUAUGAUUUCUUUUUCAUUUAAUUUUGUGUUUCCAUUUUAAUUCUUUUUCGUUUGCUGGUAUUUUACGAUACUACACAUUGUACACGUUAUGNNNNNNNNNNNNNNNNNNNNNNNNNNNNNNNNNNNNNNNNNNNNNNNNNNNNNNNNNNNNNNNNNNNNNNNNNNNNNNNNNNNNNNNNNNNNNNNNNNNNNNNNNNNNNNNNNNNNNNNNNNNNNNNNNNNNNNNNNNNNNNNNNNNNNNNNNNNNNNNNNNNNNNNNNNNNNNNNNNNNNNNNNNNNNNNNNNNNNNNNNNNNNNNNNNNNNNNNNNNNNNNNNNNNNNNNNNNNNNNNNNNNNNNNNNNNNNNNNNNNNNNNNNNNNNNNNNNNNNNNNNNNNNNNNNNNNNNNNNNNNCACACACACACACACACACACACACACACACACACACACACAUAUAUAUAUAUAUAUAUAUAUAUAUAAAUAGAAUUUCUAGUAGAACCAAUCAUGCAUAUAUAUAUCAUCAAUGUCUCACAAACCAUCAUAUUAAUUAAUUCACACAUACACACAUGUAUAGCUAUAUACAAUUUCUCCUACAUAUGCAUGUUACCUUCGGAGCCAGUGGCAUUAUAGCCUAAUUGGUGCCUUCGGAGCACGAUGACAAUUGGAAGUGGUUUUCAUGGGGGCGGUAGCGGGUAAUAGUAUUCUCCCUUCGGAUUUAUGACCUGGUCGAGCAAAAAUCCCGCUAUUUCCUCUUGAAGUGCUUCUACGCGCUCCAUUUCUAGGAGCUUCGCCCGCACCUCUCUGAACUGUUAAGAAGGAGAUCAAUAUGCAUGUGUAUUAGUUGUGUGACUAGAUAUCGAUAAUGGUGUAAAAACUGUGAAUAGUGUUUUGACAAGCGUACCCAUUCCUGUCUUUGAGAUCUGCUCCUUUCGGACGCCAUCAUGCGAAUGUUCUCGCAAACGCAGAAUGCACACAGAUCAGUCCCCUGCGCCUGCUUCAGGGCCUUUACGAGAAUGGAAUUUGAUCAGAUAAUAAUUAAUCAAGCAUGAUAAUUAAAGAGAUGGCAGCUAGCUAGCUAGCUCGUACUACUUAAUUACUUACCUUGGGUCUUCCCCAUUUAAGCUUUUCUUUCCAUUCGCCGUCCGUGACCUUGAUGAACCUUGCCCAAGCCCUGCCCGCCGACAAAGAAAAUGAAUAAAGGGGUUAUUAAAUAGUUCAUAUCAUGAAAUGACGAACUAAAUAGGCCGAGAUAUAUAAUUAAUAAUGAUUGAAAUUACCUGUUGACUAUCCCAAACAAGAUGUUAUAGUCAGUUUUUUCUUUGAGUAGUGAGUCCAGUAUUUCAACUGUUCCGGUGUCAACUUUAAUGAUACACAAGACCCAGUGAAAUCUGCAUGCACACACGUUUGCAUGUCUUAAUUAAGCGGGCAUAUGUAAGCAAAAACAUGUAGCUAGCUAGUAGUUAAAAACAGAGAAUUUGUAGUACAAGAUAGUGUGACUCACUGGAAGUUGUAAGGAAGUAGUAUAUCUUCAUUGUAUUUGAGGCGCUUCAUGAACUCUAGCAUGCUGUCCUCUACGGCCUUUUGAUGACGUUCAUCUAUUUUCCAUGUGUAUUCAUUAACGGUGUUUGGGUCAAUGAACCUAAUGUCAUAGCGUCCACCUUUUCUCAUUUCAUACAUCUUCAUCCUGCAUAUAAUACCACAGAAAAGAAUAUAGUGAGGAUAAUUACACGUAAUGAUUGAUCAAAAGGAUCACUACAGCUAGCUUCAGACUUAAAUUACAGAAUGAAAUCACUUACAUACAAUAGCAACUGACGAUAGAUUUGUCGAGUGCGUCUUGAUUGUAUAACUGAAACAGUUCAGAAUACUCAACGGACACAGCUUUCUCAUGGUAGUAAUGCUCCUCCUUGACAUUCACCAUGAGGGACAAUCGAUCGGAAAUCUUGGUAAUGUUCAUGUACCAUUGAUGCAAUUCAUACAUUCUCGUUGGGAGGUUCUUGACCUUGUCUGGCUCGACCAAAGGUUGGCCCCGGACAUAUUUCCGUUUUAUUUCAUCCUCUCAAAGCACAGGCAUGGGCUCGAUCUCGAGGAGUUGUCCAACAGUGAUUUUGAGAACUUCAGCCUGCAUUAUAUGCUCCUCCAUUAUUACCACAUUGCCCACCUCAGGAACAUAAACUGUUUGCCCAUAAUAAUAUUGGGCGCGCGUACUGUCACGUGUUGUUGGCACAACAAGCGAGGAGAUCGAUUGCGCCGCCUGUUCUCCCAGCUGGGGAAUGGUUUUCCCGCAUUUUUUGACAGCUGCUUCUUGUUUGCUCGAUCCCGAGCUCGCCUCCUUACGUACACAUGCUCGAUUUAACUUCCUGAUGUGGCGCUCAUAGUCUGUGUCAACAGGCUUGGGAGCUGGUGGUUGAGCCAUACGAAUGAAGUGGUCAAUCGUUUCCUCAGGCACUUUCUCCCUUGGCGGCGUUGGCGGUUUCGGUGCAAAAUGGGCUUCCACCUCAGACUUUGAUAUGGCUGCGAUUUCCUCCUCGGACCUGUCAUAAGCCCUCUGCGGAAGAGGCGUGAGGCUUGGACCAUAUUUAUAUCGCUUGCCUCCGCCUGUACUUCCUGUACUACCUCGACUCGUACCGCUACGCACCAUAGCUGCGGGGUGUCUCUUCUGUGAUUGCUGAGGCGGCGGAGACGGCUGACGGGGCUGAGUUGGACGAGGAGGAGUGGCCGCCUGAAGCUGUGCCGGACUUGGAGGAGGAGUGGCCUGAGGUUGUGCCGGACUUGGAGGAGGAGUGGAUGUCUGACGUUGUGGCGGACUUGGAGGAGGAGGAGUGGCCUGGCACUUUGCCGGACUUGGAGGAGGAGUGGCCUGACACUUUGCCGGACUUGGUGGACUUGCAGGAGCGGGAGACUGCUGACUCGGUGGCGGACUUCGAUGAGGAGUCGGCUGACGCGGUGUCGGUGGCCUUCGAAAGAUGAUGCAAUCCUUUUUCCAUAGGAUGAUACGAUGUUUGGCGUCUCCGAGAAAGCACUCGUCGUCACCUCCAGGAUAGUCAAGCUCUAGCUCCGAAUAUGGGUCCACCACCUCAUCAACCAAGACACGAGCAUAGCCCGCUGGAAUCGGGUUGCAAUGGAAGGUUGCCUCGGGGGGAUUUGUAAAAGCAACAACGUUCGCCACCUUCAUGGAUAUGUUCUUCAUUUUGACGUGUAGCUCGCAGCUAGUGUUCUUCGUGAUGUCAUCCACGGGGUAUCUACACAGCAUUGCAUCGUCCGGGGCGGAACCCACGCUGCUUCUCGGCAUGGAUGGGGCGGUGCUAUCCAAUGCUGGAUCAUUCGCUAGCUGCUGCAGCUGCUGAGACCCCCUUUGCUGGGUAAGUGAGUCGAUCUGCUCCUGCUGCCACUGGAAUUUGACUACCAAUUCCGCUUGACUUGCUUCUAGGCCUUGAAGGCGUUCAUAGUCCCGCUUCCUCUGCUCCUCCUCCAUCUUCCUCUUCUUCUCCUCCGCAAUCUUCUUUCUCGCACGGGUUCUGUAGUCGGUGUUCCAGUCUGAGAACCCCUCAUACCACGGAAUAGCGCCCUUGCCUCGUGUUCUUCCCGGGUGUUCAGGAUUUCCCAGGGCUUGCGUAAGCUCGUCGUUCUCUCUGUUGGGCUGGAACACCCCCGAUCGUGCCUCUUCUAUUGCAACAAGUAUCGCAUCGUCGGCUCCCUUCAGACUUGCCCUCGUCGAAACAUUGCCUGUCUUCGGGUCCAACUCCCCCCCAUGCGCAUAGAACCAAGUCCUGACCCUGGGGGGCCAGCUCUUAGUAACCGGAGUGGCACCUGCAUCCUUCGUCUCUUUCUCAGACUUAUCCCACUUAGGCAUUGGCACCGCAUAGCCACCUGGCCCCAGCUUAUGGAACUUAUCCUUUUUUUCGGCAUUCUUCUUGUUUAUUCUCGACCAUUCCUUAGCUAAUUCCGAAUCCUUGAAUUUCACGAAAUCGUCCCAAUGAGCACGUUGGUUCUCUAGUGUUCCCUUGAAUACUGGAGUCUUCCUUCCUCCCUUGACGUACUUGUCCCAUUCACGAUUCUUGUGGUUCUUGAAUGCAACCGCCAUCUUCCUAAGAGCAGCGUCCUUGACUUUCUGCACAUCUGCUUCUGUGAAAUGAUCUGGUAGGGUGAAAUGUUCCAUGAGAGUAUCCCAAAGCAGAUCUUUUUGAUUCUUGUCGACAAAAGUAACAUCUGGACGUGGAGCAGCGUCCUCUUUGCCUUUUUGUCUUUUGUCUUUUGCUGGCUCUCUCCAUUCUUGAAGGGAGAUCGGGAGUUGGUCCUUCACAAGAACUCCGCACUGACGAAUGAACUUGUCCGCAAUCUUCUUAGGCGCUAAUGGUUCGCCAUUAGGUCUGACUGCCUCGAUAUUGUACUUUACGCCCUCCUUCAACUUUUUGUUCAGGCCUCGUUUCGUCCUUUUGCCUGAAGAUUUGCUCGAUCCGGAUGGCUAAAAGAACAAAGAUCGAUUCGUUAAUAUAUCUUCAAGUCAUUUAAAACAUGUGAUGAUCACCAGAUACCUGCUUAUAUAAAUAUAUAUACCUCGCCGGUCUUUGUUGUUUCAGGAUCAACAUGUUCUUCGUCAUCGUCAUAAUCGUAGUUCAUGACUUCAUCAAUUCGGUCAUCGCGAUCGAAUAUCAUAUCACCCUCUCCGGUGUUGUUUAGAAAUUCGGAGCCGUCAUAAUCUUCUUCAUUCUGAUCAUCAUCUGGCCCGCGUAUCAUAUCGAACAUGGUCUGUUCUCCCUCUCUGUCGGUAUUGUCUGCCAUAGCUUUUAUUUAACUAAUUCAAAAGAAAUAUAAAACAAUUUAGUAUUCAAAUUACAUCAUCUCGAAUAAUAGAUAUAAUCUCGAAUACUUCGUCUAGAAUAAUAGAUAUAAUCUCGAAUACAUCGUCUCGAAUAAUAUAUAAUAUUGAAUAGUACAUCACUGGCUAGCUAAUUAAAGAUCGAAUACUACAGAAGAAUCUAGGACACUCGCGGUUCCUGCAGCGCGGGCGGUGGACACCCAAAGAGAAGGAACCCUCACAGGAGAAUAGCUGAAGUGAGAUCCCCGAAGAUACUGCCAGGUAUUGGAGAACCUGCCGCCCUCUAAUGCAACCAUGUAGCGAUGGACAUGCUCGUCCUCCUCCCUGACACGGCGACGUACCACCUCCGGCGGGGCCGGGUCCCUCCGCACCGAAACUGGCCCAUGCGAACGCCAACAAACGAGAUCAGGGUCGACGACUGGACCCGGGGCCGGGUUCCUCAUCAAGCGGCGCGCCCCUCCAGGCAGCACCUCCCAGUGCCAGCCCGGCGGAACCCAGUCCCGGACAUGGGUCGGCUGGACGUCGUCGCGGACGGGUCGACGACGAGGAUGCGGGCCGGGCAUCGUCGAGAACAAAUAUUAGCUAUAUGCCCGCAAAAAGUAAUAUUUUUUUAAUGAUUGGAUUUUGAUAACUAAAAUUUCUAACAUUUCUACUAUUUCAAAAAUCUAUAUACUAUUUCAUACUAAUUAAGCAUCUAACACUAAAAACAGAAAACACAACUUCUAUACAUUCAUUAAAAAACUGAAAAACAACAUUAUAUAAAAAAUUCCAUACUAAUUAAACACUAAUUAUAUCCAUCUAACAUGCAUUCAUACAUAUAUAAUAGUGAAAAAAUAAUUAUCUAAAUAAUCUAAACUAAUUAAACAUACAAAAUACAUAUAUACUAAUUAAACACUAAAUAAUCUAAACUAAUUAAACAUACAAAAUACAUAUGUAUGUGUGUGUGUGUGUUCAUGCAUGCUUGUGUGUGUGUAUGGGCUCGGGGAGGGGCGGCGCCCAUGGUGGCCGCCAGGGNNNNNNNNNNNNNNNNNNNNNNNNNNNNNNNNNNNNNNNNNNNNNNNNNNNNNNNNNNNNNNNNNNNNNNNNNNNNNNNNNNNNNNNNNNNNNNNNNNNNNNNNNNNNNNNNNNNNNNNNNNNNNNNNNNNNNNNNNNNNNNNNNNNNNNNNNNNNNNNNNNNNNNNNNNNNNNNNNNNNNNNNNNNNNNNNNNNNNNNNNNNNNNNNNNNNNNNNNNNNNNNNNNNNNNNNNNNNNNNNNNNNNNNNNNNNNNNNNNNNNNNNNNNNNNNNNNNNNNNNNNNNNNNNNNNNNNNNNNNNNNNNNNNNNNNNNNNNNNNNNNNNNNNNNNNNNNNNNNNNNNNNNNNNNNNNNNNNNNNNNNNNNNNNNNNNNNNNNNNNNNNNNNGGGGACGGGGACGGCGCGACGGGGACGGGCCCGGGGCGGCGACGGAGACGAGGGCGGCGAUGGGGACGGGGGCGGCGACGGAGACGAGCGGCGACGGAGACGAUCGAGGGCGGCGGCGACGGCGACGAAGACGGAAACAGAGGAACAAAUAGAGAGGGAAACUGAAAUUUUCGUAGCUGUUGUAUAUAUAGAAGGCACCUUUAGUACCGGUUGGAGCCACCAACCGGUACUAAAGGCCUGUUUUGGCCAGGCCAAGCGGCGGGAAGCGACACCCUUUAGUACCGGGUGGUGGCACAAACCGGUACUAAAGGGGUACUAAAGGCCCCCCCUUUAGUACCGGUUUGUGCCACGACCCGGUACUAAAGGGGUCGCGCUGCCACCCCAAAGUUUAGUCCCACCUCGCCGGACGAAGGGCAGCCGCACUAGUUUAUAAACCCAGCCACGGCUACCACUUCUAACUCCUCUAUAUAGCUAGCAGGCUUGUGGGCCUAAACUCUGCGCGCUGCCCUAUGAGUCUGCUGGGCCUUUAAGGCCUGUAAUUACACACCUGUGGCCUAUCAGGCCCACAGGGCAGUGCCCCAAUUUUUUUUAUAGUUUUUUCUUUUCUGCUUUAUUUUCUUCUAUUUAUUUUUGCAUAGUUUUUUGUAUAGUUUUUUCUUUUCUGUUAUAUUUAUUUUCUUCUAUUUAUUUGUGAGUAGUUUUUCAUCUAGUUUGCCAAAAUUCAACAUUUUCAGAGUUCAUUUUGUAGUGAUUUUCAAUUUCACGGUCAUUUUGUAAACGAUUGAAAAAUAGCAAAUAUAAUUUUUUUUCUUUUCUGCUUUAUUUUUGAGUAGUUUUUUCUUUUCUGCUAUAUUUAUUUUCUUCUAUUUAUUUUUGAGUAGUUUUUUUAUAUAGUUUUUUCUUUUCAGCUAUAGUUUUUCUUUCUUUUCUGCUAUUUUUUCUGUUAGUGCCCGUAGUUUCCAAAUUUGAAUAGUUUAAAUUUUGAAUUAUUUGAAAUUAGUGUGAAUUUGUUUGCACAUAAAUUUCUUCGCGUUUCAAAUGCCAAAACACAUAACUACCCUAACUAUUACAGAGAUCCCCCUCUCGGUGCGAAACACAGAAGAAAGUGAUGAUAGCUAGUGAAGCCGAUCACAUCCCAGAUCUUUGGGUGUGAAACUUUUUCUUCGCGUGUGUCCCUUUGCGCCGUAACCAUGGAAAAUCUUCAUCAUUUAACGGGAUGCUCGGGUCAAUAUUCACUGUGAAUGGAGCAAUUUCAUCAAACUUUUCAUAAUCUUCUGACUUGUCUGUCUUGUCAUCCACUCCCACGAUGUUUCUCUUCCCAGAAAGAACUAUGUGCCGCUUUGGCUCAUCGUACGAUGCAUUCGCUUCCUUAUCUUUUCUUUUUCUUGGCUUGGUAGACAUGUCCUUCACAUAGAAAACAUGUGCCACGUCAUUGGCUAGGACGAAUGGUUCGUCUGCAUACGCAAGAUUGUUGAGAUCCACUGUUGUCAUUCCGUACUGCGGGUCUUCCGUUACCCGCCUCGUGUCAUAUUGACCCAUUUGCACCGAAACAAAGGGACCUUUAAACCACGUCGAUAGUCAAGUUCCCAUAUGUCCUGUAUAUAACCAUAAUAUGUUUCCUUUCCCGUCUUGGUUUCUGCAUCAAAGCGGACACCACUGUUUUGGUUGGUGCUCUUCUUAUCUUGGGCGAUCGUGUAAAAUGUAUUACCAUUUAUCUCGUACCCUUUGAAAGUCAUUAUAUUCGAAGAUGGUAACUGGGACAGCAAGUACAGGUCAUCUUCAAUAGAGGUGUCAUGCAUGGUACGUGUCUGCAACCAGCUGGCGAAACUCCUGGUUUGUUCACGUGUAAUCCAGUCAUCAGACCGCUCCGGGUGUUUGGAGCGUAGCAAAUUCUUGUGUUCAUCCAUAUACGGAGCCACCAAGGCGGAAUUCUGUAGAACUGUGUAGUGUGCUUCAGUGAGAGAAUGUCCGUCCAUACAUAUUAUUUGUUCCCCUCCUAGCGUGCCUUUUCCAUCCAGUCUGCCCUUAUGCCGCGAUUUAGGAACACCAAUCGGCUUAAGGUCAGGAAUAAAGUCAAUACAAAACUCAAUGACCUCCUCAUUUUGAUGGCCCUUGGAGAUGCUUCCUUCUGGCCUAGCACGGUUAUGAACAUAUUUCUUUAAGACUCCCAUGAACCUCUCAAAGGGGAACAUAUUGUGUAGAAAUACAGGACCCAAAAUGUUAAUCUCUUCGCACAGGUGAACUAGGACGUGUGUCAUGAUGUUGAAGAAGGAUGGUGGGAACACUAACUCGAAACUGACAAGACAUUGCACCAAAUCAUUCUGUAACCUUGGUAUGAUUUCUGGAUCGAUUACCUUCUGAGAGAUUGCAUUGAGAAAUGCACAUAGCUUCACAAUGGCUAAUCGAACGUUUUCCGGUAGAAGCCCCCUCAAUGCAACCGGAAGCAGUUGCGUCAUAAUCACGUGGUAGUCAUGAGACUUUAGGUUCUGGAACUUUUUCUCUGCCAUGUUUAUUAUUCCCUUUAUAUUCGACGAGAUGCCAGACGGUACCUUAAUACUGAGCAGGCAUUCAAAGAAGAUUUCCUUCUCUUCUUUGGUAAGAGCCUAGCUUGCAUGACCCUGAUGUAUGCCGUCUUCUCCAUGCAUAUGUUGCUGGUCCUCCCGUGCCUCAGGUGUAUCUUUUGUCUUCCCAUACAUGCCCAAGAAGCCAAGCAGGGUCACACAAAGAUUCUUCGUCACGUGCAUCACGUCGAUUGCGGAGCGGACCUCUAGGUCUUUCUAAUAUGGCAGGUCCCAAAAUAUAGAUUUCUUCUUCCACAUGGGUGCGCGUCCGUCAGCGUCCUUUGGAACAGGUUGUCCGCCAGGACCCUUUCCAAAUAUCACCUUCAAAUCCUUGACCAUAUCAUGUACAUCAGCACCAGUACGGUGGCGAGGCUUCACCCGGUGAUCCGCCUCACCUUUGAAAUGCUUGCCUUUCUUUCUUAUGGGAUGCCUGCUCGGAAGAAAUCGACGAUGUCCCAGGUACACAUUCUUCUUACAACUAUUCAAAUAUAUACUGUCAGUAUCAUCCAAACAGUGUGUGCAUCCGUGGUAUCCCUUGUUUGUCUGUCCUGAAAGGUUACUGAGAGCAGGCCAAUCAUUGAUGGUCACGAACAGCAAUGCCUUUAGGUCAAAUUCUUCCUGUUUGUGCUCAUCCCAUGCACGUACACCUAUUCCAUUCCACAGUUGUAAGAGUUCUUCAACUAAUGGCCUUAGGUACACAUCAAUGUCGUUGCCGGGUUGUUUAGGGCCUUGGAUGAGCACUGGCAUCAUAAUGAACUUCCGCUUCAUGCACAACCAAGGAGGAAGGUUAUACAAACAUAGAGUCACAGGCCAGGUGCUAUGGUUGCUGCUCUGCUCCCCAAAAGGAUUAAUGCCAUCUGCGCUUAGACCAAACCAUACGCUCCUUGCGUCAUCUGCAAACUCCUUCCUGUACUUUCUUUCGAUUUUUCUCCACUGCGACCCGUCAGCGGGUACUCUCAACUUUCCGUCUUUCUUAUGGUCUUCUCUGUGCCAUCGCAUCGCCUUGGCAUGCUCUUUGUUUUGGAACAAACGUUUCAACCGUGGUAUUAUAGGAGAAUACCACAUCACCUUGGCAGGAAUCUUCUUCCUGGGGCGCUCGCCCUCGACAUCACCAUGCUCAUCGCGGUUGAUCUUAUAGCGCAAUGCACCACAUACCGGGCAAGCGUUCAAAUCCUCGUACUCACCGCGGUAGAGGAUGCAAUCAUUAGGGCAUGCAUGUAUCUUCUGCACCUCUAACCCUAGAGGGCAGACAGCCUUCUUUGCUUCGUACGUACUCUCGGGCAAUUCGUUGUCCUUUGGAAGCAUAUCCUUUAUCAUUACCAGCAACUUUCCAAAUCCCUUGUCAGAUACACCAUUCUCUGCCUUCCAUUGCAACAAUUCUAGUGUGGUGCCCAACUUUUUCUUGUCACCUACGCAAUUCAGGUACAACAAUUUUUUGUGAUCCUCUAACAUGCGCUGCAACUUCUUCUUCUCCAAAUCACUUGCGCAGUUUCUCUUUGCAUCGGCAAUGGCCUGAUCUAGAUCAUCAACAGGCUCAUCUGAUGCCUCUUCUUCAGCUUCUACCCACAUUGCCGGUUCAGCUUCUUCCCGCAUUACCGGCUCAGCUUCUUCCCCCAUUGUUGUAUCAUCGUAUUCAGGGAACCCAUGGCCAGGAUAGCUGUCGUCGUCCUCUUCUUCUUCAUUGUCUUCCAUCAUAACCCCUCUUUCUCCAUGCUUGGUCCAAACAUUAUAGUGGGGCAUGAAACCGGACUCAAACAGGUGGACGUGAAUGGUUCUUGACGUAGAGUAAUUGCGACCAUUCUUACAGCCAGCACAUGGACAAGGCAUAAAACCAUCCGCCCGCUUGUUUGCCUCAGCCGCAAGCAGAAAACUAUGCACGCCCUCAACGAACUGGGGAGAGCAUCGGUCAUCGUACAUCCAUUGCCGGCUCAUCUUCAUUACACAACACCGAAUAGACCAAACUAAUACAAGUUCAUACAUAAAGUUCAUACAACACUUAAAUGCAACAAACAAAUAACUCUCUAGCUAAAGCAUUUAAAUGCAACAACAAAUGCGAUCAAGAUCGCAACUAAGGUAACAAUUGAUCCAACAGCAUAAUGAUACCAAGCCUCACUAUCGAUGGCAUAUUUUCUAAUCUUUCUAAUCUUCUUGAUCUUGUGAUCAUCGACGACAUCGGCAACAUGCAACUCCAAUUCCAUCUUCUCCCCCUCAAUUCUUUUCAAUUUUUCUUUCAAGUACUCGUUUUCUCUUUCAACUAAAUUUAACCUCUCGACAAUAGGGUCGGUUGGAAUUUCCGGUUCACAUACCUCCUAGAUAAAAAUAUCUAUGUCAACUUGAUGGGCAUAAUUUGUCAUAAACACGAAAUGCAACAAAUAGUUUUAAAAGAGAAUAUACCACAUCCGAAUCAUAACAAGGACGAGGGCCGACGGGGACGGAUAUCAAAACCAUGGCACUAUGUAUAACAAAUAACGUACGGGUAAGAUAAUUAUUAUACGAGUAACUAUAUAUCCAAAUCACACAAACAUCAAUUUUUUAUAUAAAAUUUCAUGAACAAGAGGCUCACCACAAGGUGGUGCCGGCGACGGGACGGUGCGGGCGAUCGACGGUGGUUACGACGGAGAUUUAGAAGGCACUAAGUAAACCACACCUACAUAUGCAAACUAAGUGUUAUUUUAACCUCAAAUUGCAUAUAAAUCAAAUACUAGCACAUAUAUAUAUUUCCUCCCAAAUUACUAAACUCACAAAUUAAUAACUAUAUAAAGCAUUGCAAGAGCUAAUCUAGCAAUGAGAGAUGAAAGGACAAAGUUGCUAACCUUUGUGAUCAUUUGAAUGGAUGGGGGCCUUCAAAUCUUGACAAAUUUUGGGCAAAAUGUGUGAUGAGCUCAAGAGGAAGAGGGGAAGAACAGAGAGGAGAGGGGAAAGGGGAAGAACAGAGCGAGCUCGGGUGGACGAAGGGUUUAUGUAGGACGACCUUUAGUACCGGUUCGUGCCAAGAACCGGUACUAAAGGUGCUGGAGGGGGCCCAGACUGACAACAUCCUGCCACCACUCUCAUUAGUACCGGUUCGUGGCUUGAACCGGUGCUAAAGGUUAGCCACGAACCGGUACUAAUGAGAGCGGCCCGGCUAGCCGUUGGAACCGGCAUUAAUGUAUACAUUUGUGCCAGCUCAAAUACAAACCAACACUAAUGUGCUUCACGUUUGACCCUUUUUCUACUAGUGAUCCCUUGGCAACUUGGGUUACGUCGGUACCUAUACGCUUCGCUUAUCCGGUGUUGCCCUGAGAACGAGAUAUGUGCAGCUCCUAUCGGGAUUGUCGGUGCAUCGGGCGGUCUUGCUGGUCUUGUUUUACCAUUGUCGAAAUGUCUUGUAAACCGGGAUUCCGAGUCUGAUCGGGUCUUCCUGGGAGAAGGUCUAUUCCUUUGUUGAUCGCGAGAGCUUAUCAUGGGCUAAGUUGGGACACCCCUGUAGGGUAUAAUCUUUCAAAAGUCGUGCCUACGGUUAUAGGCAGAUGGGAAUUUGUUAAUGUCUGGUUGUAGAUAACUUGACACCAGAUCCAAAUUAAAACGCAUCAACCGUGUGUGUAGCCGUGAUGGUCUCUUUUCAGCGGAGUCCGGGAAGUGAACACGGUUUCUGUGUUAUGUUUGACGUAAGUAGGAGUUCAGGAUCACUUCUUGAUCAUUACUAGCUUCACGACCGUUCCGCUUGCUCUCUUCUCGCUCUUAUUUGCGUAUGUUAGCCACCAUAUAUGCUUAGUCGCUGCUGCAGCCUCACCACUUUACCCCUUCCUUUCCCUUUAAGCUUUGCUAGUCUUGAUACCCAUGGUAAUGGGAUUGCUGAGUCCUCGUGGCUCACAGAUUACUACAACAACAGUUGCAGGUACAGGUUUUGCGAUGAUCAUGACGCGAGAGCGAUGCUUGCUUGUGUUGAGUUCUUCUUCUGCUUCUUCUUCGAUCAGGGGAUAGGUUCCAGGUCGGCAGCCUGGGCUAGCAGGGUGGAUGUCGUUUGAGUUUCUGUUUGUGUUUCGUCCGUAGUCGGAUGAUGCUCUGAUGUACUGUGAUGUUGUAUUCGUGUGGCAUUGUAUGCCUUAGGUAUGUAUCCCCAUCUUUUAUGUAAUGUUGAUGUAAUGAUAUCCACCUUGCAAAAGCGUUUCAAUAUGCGGGUCUAUCCUUGGUGGGACCUUCGAGUUCCUUUUGGAUAUGGUCGCAUAUUGGGCGUGACAAGUUGGUAUCAGAGCAUCGACCGACCCUAGGAGCCCCCUUGAUUGUUGGUCGUUGUUGAGUCUAGAAGAAAACUAUUUUGAGUCUUAGGAUUAUAUAUAUAUUGGAGAGUAGGAUUCUUUUUACUCCUCAGCCCCCUUCGUCGCUCUGGUGAGGUCUCCUGACGUAGAUGUUUUGACUUUCCUCUCCUCAAAUUUCACUAAAUUUUUUUAGGAUCACGCGGGUAUGUUGGAAUCGUUCCGAUGGUUUUGUGACGAGAACAUUGUUCUUGGUGCCUCCUGUCUAUUAUGUGGCUUUGACCCGGGGAGUUGAGCUCCGAGGUGUUGUCGUCACAAUUUUAUCGUUGCAGUUCUGGAAUACCUGAGUUUUGCCGACAUCGAAAAUCUCUUUUAUGCAGUUGUUGGUGAGAUAACCUCGACGUCACCCAGUACUGGGGAGUUCGGGAGUAUUGCCAUAACUCGUAUAACGGAUGCUUUUCGAAGGUUGAGGUACACGAUUUCCGGAGUUUUCUUGGUUAUGUGUUGACGGAUGGAUACAGCUGGAUGUAGUGAUUGUUAGUUUGGGUGAGAUAUAUUGCUUCCCCUGUAUCCCCAACACCAGAUUGCAUAACCAGAAAGUUUCGGGAGUUUUAUAGGUGGGAAUUCAAGUAGCUCCUAGAAUAUCUUUCCGACAGAUGCAUGAUACGGGAUUGGGUAAAUCUCUAUCAUAUGUAUUUGUUCCGGCUUAUUUCUGCAAGCCAAUCCUUUGUUUUGUUUUAUUUAUGGUAUUUGAGUUGCUUCAAAGUCAAGUGUUGAUUCCAUACCUUUCAAGCGGUGUUCUCAUAUUUCUAUGAGAGUGCUAAUCCUUCUUGUUUAUUGAGAUUGUCAUGUCAAUUCUUUUCCAAACCGGCGUGCUUCUCUUCAAGUGGUUCCAAUCUUUUUCAACAUCCGCAAGAUCAACUCUAAGUUUUCUCACCGGUGUUUGUUUCAUCCAUCCCAAGUUGCCUUUGUUUUCCCGCCCUCCCACCCUUUUUCUGCAAGGACUCAUAUAUGUUAAUCAAGUAUCCAUUUAUUUCAUGUGAAGUCUCUUCAUUCUUUUCAAUCAAUGUUCUUAUCCGGUGAUUCUCAUGAAGAUACUAACGGAGCUUCAAGUUCAUCAUCCUUCGUUCUUUUUCUUCUCCGGUGGAUCCAUUUCAAGCUUUCAGUGUUGAUCAUAUUCUUUUCCUCGUGUCAAAUGCUUUUUCAUACUGGUGCACCUCUUAAUCUUUCACUUCUCACUAUUCAUUUGUUCUGGAGUGCUGAAGAUAUCUCGAAGACUAGUGUUUCCAUUCUCAACCCGUUCAAGAUAUUUCGAGGUUGUUAUCUCAUUCAAGUCAUUUAAUUCAACCAGUGCAAUCCCCCCUUUCAAUCAUUUCCAACGGUGUUUUCUUUUUAGUGGGCCCUAACCCACAGGUCUUUUUCCAGGAUCUUACCUGACUCUUCUAAUUAUUCCGGAGUUAUUCUUAAAUUCUAUUCAAGUGUGACGUAAGAAUGGAUUCCAUCAGUCACAUGCCUUCUCCAAGAUCGCUUUCAAAUUCUUCUCAUUGUUGGCUCAACCUCUUUGUGUUUCAUUCUCCCGGAGUAUCUCAACAAUUCUUGGUGGUGUUUCUCGUCGUCAUUCUCGGAUUUUGAAGACCGAAGAAGAGUUUUUCCUCCAAAUCUUAUCCGUUCUCUCAAAGAUUCGUGAUUCUAGCUUGAUGUCAUCCUCUCAUAAUUAUUUUCGAUUGUGAGAAUUCUUUUCACCAAUCCGGAUCUAUUCAAGAGUCUUUUCAGUUUGAUUCCCCGGAGCACAUCAUCUCAGAAUCAUUCAUUCCAGCCUUUAGCUCUCGUUAUUCAAAUCUAACCGGUGCAUCAUUCAAGUAUUCUCUAAUAAGCUCAUGAUCUCUUCGUUCACUUGUAUCUAAAUCCCCUCAAGUAUAUUCAUUCGUUUUUCCAAUUCUUCCCGGUGAAUUGUGCCUUUGAUAUGUUCAUUUUCAAUUCUUAUGGUGGUUCGUUCAAGAUUCCUCUUCCUUUGCUACCGUAUUAUUUCAUUCGUUGUUUCCAAUCCCACCGGUGGUUCCAUCAAUACCUUCACAAGUUUGCGCCAUAUCUAUCUUGAUCCUUUUUACGAGAAUAAGUAGUAUGCCAAAUCUGUUGUUUGUCAUCAAUUUAAAUUCGUGAAGGAUAUGCAUACCGUAAUUCUUAUUAUUGUUUCAUCCGAGUGAUCUAGUUUCUUCUUUCCAGAGUUGUUCAUCAUGUCACAUUUCUCGGUUCGAGAUGCUUCAUCUUUUCUUUUCCGGAGUUCCAAGUUUUCCGCAUUAUCUCAUCACGAAACUCCAUCUAAAUCAUUGCAAGGCUUCACCUUGUGUUUUCAACUUCUCCUUCUUUUUAUCAUCCUUUUAUUACCGGAGUUCUUCAUGGAGGCUCUACAUGGUGGUUCGUCAAGGAUUCUUUUCAUUCUUCAAUUGUUCUUCAAGGUUUCUCUCGAAGCUAUGAUCCGCCAAGCUAUUCUAAAAAAUUAAACAUGGUGCUCAACACAUGUUUUGUUUUGAGGAGCUCAAGUAUUAUUCAUAUUGCAUUCCAAAGUGCAAUUCUUUCUACCUUAUCUUUUGAGGUGGUGUUAUGUCACUCUUGACAAUUUCCUUCAUGUUUCAUGAUUCAUAUGUUGUCAAGAAUGAGGUAUUUUAAAUCCAUCAAUCUCUUUGUUGGAGUUAUCUUGGGUUAUAUUUCACCUAAAGCCUUCCAUUGGGAAUGUUGCUAUUUGUGGUGCUUAUCAUUGAUCCAAGCUUUCUCCAUAUCCUUCUCGGUGAAAGAAGUUUUCAUCUCUUGUUUGAUCUCAAACAAGCAAUUGUUUCAGUUAGUGGCCGGUUGUCACCUCAUAAUUUUGAGAAGUUUUCCAUAAGCCUACUACAAGCUUAUUCUUUUCGUUGUUGGUUUUCCAACAACCCCGUUGUAAUCAUCUUGGAAGGGUGCUUUCCAAGCUCAUUUGUGGCACAAGUUGUCAUUUUCUUCUCCGUCCCUUUAUCCCAACAAUCUAGCUUCUAUUCUUUCUCCCAGAGACAUUGUGAUGUUGCUCUUUUCUCUCAUCUUCUCGAAUUGAGGAUCAUGUUCUUUUCGUGCUUAUCCAUUUAACCGGAGUGUUGUGUCAUCUCUUCAAGUUCUUUUCAUCUUAUCAAGUUUUGCUUCUCUUUUCAACCGGAGUGCUGUAUGAAAUCCUUCUUACCCAUUAUGCCAUUCUUUCAAUAGUUCCGGAGGCAGUGUGUUGUUGAUUUCAUCAAGUAUCCUCUCAUCUUCUCAAGUUCAUGUUCUAUUCCUUCCAUGUUCAACCGGAGUGCUGCCCGAAUUCUUCCUCUCUCAUCUUGUUUUAACCGGAGUGGUUUCGAAUUCUAUCUUGUCCAUUAAACUCUUGAUUCAUGCCUUUACAACCUUCAAGUUAUCAUAAUGUUCCUCUUUUCUAACGGAUUGUUUGCAAUCUCGUUCAUCUCUAAUUGCUCAACCUCUCAAGGUUCAUGGUUUCACUCAUUGGUCGAAGAAGCAACUUAGUUUUACCGCUUAUCUUCCUCUUCCUUUUCCUUCCGGUACCAUCCUAGAUCUCGGGACGAGAUCCUCUCGUAGUGGUGGAGUGUUGUAACGCCCCGGAUGCAACUUUCCAUAUUCAUAACUCCGACUCUUGCCAUUUCCGGCUAUGUGAUUUAUUAUUUUCCUCCGUGGUUGGGUUUUUGUCUGUUGUUUUGCAUUUUGUUCUUGUUAUGCAUCUCGUCUCAUAGCAUCAUGCACAUUGCAUCGGCAUCGUUUUCAUGAAACUUGCAUCCGUCCGGGUUUCCCCGGUUCUCUCCGUUGUCCGUUCUGAGCCCGACCACACUCGCACGCGCCCGCGGCGCCUCCGAAAUAUUAUUUUAUAAGUGGCAUAAAAAUUGUUCUCGGAAUGGGUUGCAACUUGUCGUGCGGUCUUAUUAUAGUGUAGACAGAGCGCCUGCCAAGUUUCAUCGCAUUCGGAGUUCGUUUGACUGCCCAACCGUUAAAUAUAUAACCGCGAUAUAGUCGGUAUAUUCGUCGGACGUUUCGGUCUCUGAAACAGUUGCCGGGCUGCAUUUCUCCCCUCUUCUCUCAGCCCAACCCCCUCUACACAGCCCGUCUAGCCCUCCUACACUUUCCCUCGAUCCGGAGCCGUCCGAUGUCGAUCUGAGGCCCUGAAAUGCUCCAAAACCCUCCUAAAACCAAACCCUAGCCAUCCCUGCCUAUAUAUGGACACCCCCCUUCCAAAUUUGGCAGCCUACCCCCUUCCCUAACCCAGCCGUAGUAAUCCCACCUCCUCCUCGGGAUCUCCGCCACCUCCCACCUCCAUUUCCGCGCCACCCGCUCCAGCUCCGCCACUUGGCACCGCCGCCGCCGCGCCCCGAGCCAACCGGGGACCUCCAUGUCACCCCAACUCUCGCCUCCUCCAACCCGCGCCCUCCACGCGUCCCCCUGGCCUUCCUCGCGCCGCCCAGGGCCCGGCUGGCCCAUCCGAGGCCCGCCGUAGACUGAUCUGGGCCCGAGCGCCCCGCGCCUCCCGCUCCCGUUUUGGAUCGAGGGGAGGAUCCCUCGACCCCGAGCCCUCGUCGCUGCCACCAGCCUCCACCGCCACCGGUGCCCUCCGCCACUCCCAGGCCGACCCCGCGCCCUCUCCCUCGGUCCCUCCUUCUCUUCCUUCUUUCUCCUGAUCUCGCAUCCCUCUCUCUCUCGCAGGAACUUCUCUCGUCAGCCAUGGCGCCCGCAAGUCCAAGCUCGCCGUUCCUCGCUGAAUCCGGUGACCUUCGCCUCGGAUCCGCCGGCUCCGUCCCAUCCCGGCCUUCCCCGCACCUCCUGACGCCCAGCGCCGCUCGCCUCCGUCCGCCAAGCUCCUGCGCCGCCGCGCCUUCUUCCUCUGCUUUUGCAUCGAGCAGGAGGAGGACGCCCCUACCUCUGCUUCGAGCGUUGACCGCGGCCCUCUUCGUCUGGAGCGCCAGCGACCGGGCGGCCCAGCGCCAGAUCGCCCAGACCCAGCGCGCCCCUUCGCGGCCUGCCCGGCCUCCUCCCCUCAUCGACCGGGCCUUGGCCCAUGGGUGAGCAGCCCCCUCCAGAUCCCCCCUCCUGUACACUAACGGGCCAGCCAGUUUCGGCCCGCCUCUAUUUUUUUCAGAUCUGCGAUUUUAGGAUUAUUCCAGUGAAUUACCUGUUUUGCAGAAACCCCCUUGCACUUCAUGCAUAUAAUAACUCAUGAUCGGUGCAUCAUAUGUAAAAACUUUAUAUAUGUAAAAUGAUUAGAAUUGCAUCUAGUUUCAUAAUCUGCUAUUUUCAUCCAUGUUUAAAAUGUUUAACUUGCUGUUUGCUUUAAAUUUGCUAAUAUGCCAUGUUAAAAUGAUUUAUUUCAUAACUAAAUAACCGUAGCUCGGAAUUAAAUGUUCUUUAUAUGUAAAUGGGGUGGAAAAAUGCAUAGUUUAACAUGGUGCACUUUAUUUUCCUGUUAAACAACCUUAAAAUUGUGUUUAGGGCAGAACAGUACCGAAUCUAAAAUAUGCACAUGGGGAUUUUCCGAAAUUGUUGUUUGUUCUUUCCGGCCUCAUUUAAAAUUGCCUAGAUAGGUAGUUUUGUUAUACUUCACCUCUUGCCAUGUUUAACAACAUUUAAUAUUGUUGUGUACCUAACCGAGAGAGAACUAAAUAAUUGCUUGUGGUGUUUUGUCAAUAUGCAACUCGUUGCAUAUUGAGCUCCAUUUAAUUUGUAGUAUUGUGUGUUGCAGUUUGCCAUGCCAUGCCUCUUUAAACCGGACAUGCAUCAUACUUGAUUGUGCAUCAUGCCAUGAUUAUGCUUGUGUGUUUACCAUGUUGUUUGUUUCUUUCCGGUGUUGCUUCUUAGUUCCGGUAAUGUUGCGAUCGUGAGGUUUCGUUCGUCUACGCUUGGUUCGGUUUCAUCCGUUCGUCUUCUUCAUGGACUCGUUCUUCUUCCUAGCGGGAUUUCAAGCAAGAUGACCGCUACCCUGGAUCUCACUACUAUCAUUGCCAUGCUAGUUGCUUCGUUCUAUCGCUAUGCUGCGUUACCUAUCUAUUGCUCUUCAAGCCUCCCAAAUUGCCAUGAACCUCUAACCUUUGACACCCUUCCUAGCAAACCAUUGUUUGGCUAUGUUACCGCUUUGCUCAGCCCUCGUAUAACGUUGCUAGUUGCAGGUGAAGUUGAAGAUUUCCCCAUGGCGGACAGGAUUUUGGUUGGGAUAUCACAAUAUCUCUUAUAUUAUUAAUGCAUCUAUAUAUUUGGUAAAGGGUGGAAGGCUCGGCCUUAUGUCUGGUGUUAUGUUCCCGGAUUUUGCGUUCCUUACGCGGUCGGGUGAUUUAUGGGACCCCCUUGACAGUUCGCUUUGAAUAAAACUCCUCCAGCAAGGCCCAAUGUUGGUUUUACCAUUUGCCUCACCACCACCUAUAUUUCCCUUGGGAGUAAUUAGCCCAAGGGUCAUCUUUAUUACAGCCCCCCGGGCCAGUGCUUGUCUAAGUGUUGGUCCAAACUAGAGCACCGUGCGGGGCCAUCCCUUGGCAACUUGGGUUACGUUGGUACCUGUACGCUUCACUUAUCCGGUGUUGCCCUGAGAACGAGAUAUGUGCAGCUCCUAUCAGGAUUGUCGGCGCAUCGGGCGGUCUUGCUGGUCUUGUUUUACCAUUGUCGAAAUGUCUUGUAAACCGGGAUUCCGAGUCUGAUCGGGUCUUCCUAGGAGAAGGUCUAUUCCUUCGUUGAUCGCGAGAGUUUAUCAUGGGCUAAGUUGGGACACCCCUGCAGGGUAUAAUCUUUCGAAAGCCGUGCCUGCGGUUAUAGGCAGAUGGGAAUUUGUUAAUGUCCGAUUGUAGAUAACUUGACACCAGAUCCAAAUUAAAGCGCAUCAACCGUGUGUGUAGCCGUGAUGGUCUCUUUUCGGCGGAGUCCGGGAAGUGAACACGGUUUCUGUGUUAUGUUUGACGUAAGUAGGAGUUCAGGAUCACUUCUUGAUCAUUACUAGCUUCACGACCGUUCCACUUGCUCUCUUCUCGCUUUUAUUUGCGUAUGUUAGCCACCAUAUAUGCUUAGUCGCUGCUGCAGCCUCACCACUUUACCCCUUCCUUUCCCUUUAAGCUUUGCUAGUCUUGAUACCCAUGGUAAUGGGAUUGCUGAGUCCUCGUGGCUCACAGAUUACUACAACAACAGUUGCAGGUACAGGUUUUGUGAUGAUCAUGACGCGAGAGCGAUGCUUGCUUGCGUUGAGUUCUUCUUCUGCUUCUUCUUCGAUCAGGGGAUAGGUUCCAGGUCGGCAGCCUGGGCUAGCAGGGUGGAUAUCGUUUGAGUUUCUGUUUGUGUUUCAUCCGUAGUCGGAUGAUGCUCUAAUGUACUGUGAUGUUGUAUUCACGUGGCAUUGUAUGCCUUAGGUAUGUAUCCCCAUCUAUUAUGUAAUGUUGAUGUAAUGAUAUCCACCUUGCAAAAGCGUUUCAACACGCGGGUCUAUCCUUGGUGGGACCUUCGAGUUCCUUUUGGAUAGG
rnacentral:lncRNA from 1 species